AGAGUUUGAUCAUGGCUCAGAACGAACGCUGGCGGCAUGCCUAACACAUGCAAGUCGAACGAUACCCAGGGGCUUGCUCUUGGGAUAAGUGGCAUACGGGUGCGUAACACGUAGGUAACGUUCCUUUUGGUGUGGAAUAACCGAUCGAAAGAUUGGCUAAUGCCACAUAAGUUCCCUCCUCGUUCGCUAGGGGGGAAGAAAGCAGGGUAACUUGCGCCGAAAGAUCGGCCUGCGUCCCAUCAGCUAGUUGGAGAGGUAACGGCUCACCAAGGCGACGACGGGUAGCUGGUCUGAGAGGAUGAUCAGCCACACUGGGACUGAGACACGGCCCAGACUUCUACGGAAGGCAGCAGUGGGGAAUAUUGGACAAUGGGCGAAAGCCUGAUCCAGCAAUGCCGCGUGAGUGAUGAAGGCCUUCGGGUUGUAAAGCUCUGUCGGGAGGGACGAAAAAACCUGGGUAACGCCAGGGCUUGACGGUACCUCCAAAGGAAGCACCGGCUAACUCUGUGCCAGCAGCCGCGGUAAUACAGAGGGUGCAAGCGUUGUUCGGAAUUACUGGGCGUAAAGCGCGUGUAGGUGGCGAGAUAAGUCGGGUGUGAAAUCCCUUGGCUUAACCAAGGAAGUGCAUUCGAUACUGUUUCGCUUGAGUGUUGGAGGGGAUGGCGGAAUUCCCGGUGUAGAGGUGAAAUUCGUAGAUAUC
rnacentral:rRNA from 1 species